UAUUAUUAAUAUUAUUAUUAUUAUUAUUAUUAUUAUUAUUAUUAUUAUUAUUAUUAUUAUUAUUAUUAUUAUUAUUAUUAUUAUUAUCGUGAUGAUGAUUAGUACUAUAAAAUAUUGUUACUACGAUCGUUAAUCUAAUUGAAACAAAGUACGUAAACUUUAAGAAAAUUUCCGAUGCAAAAUGGCGUAUAUACAUACAUACAUACAUACAUACAUACAUACAUAUCAUACAUACACACAUACAUACAACCCACAUACAUACAUACAUACAUACAUACAUACGCACGUACAUACAUACAUGUAAAGCUAGUAUACAUAUUUUCUAUAUACAUAUAUGUAUAGAUAUACAAAUAUGUAUAAUAAAUAUGUAUAUUAACGUUAUACUGUAACCUCUGUAAUACACACUUUAAUAUAUUGUGAUUGUCAUAUUGUCCCUCUCUGCGUUCACGAUAAAAAGAGUGUGAUGAGACGACGAAGACGGCGUUUAAAAAAAAAAAAAAAAAGAAAAAGAAAAGAAAAAAAAAUACAAGAAACAAAAAAACCUGGAACAAGAUUGCAACGAAAACUCAUCUUCGGUUUCGUUCAAGAGCUCUAUUAUUAAUAAUAAUAAUAAUAAUAAACGCAGCGUUAACUCGAAACCCCGAACACGCCUUUUGUCAAUUCUUUCUUAUAUUACCGACGGAUAUCUCUAAUAAUUUCGUAAAGAAAUAUAAGAAAAUAAAACGAAAACUAACGAGACAUCAAAGAAAAAAAAAAAAAAAAAAAGAAAAAAGAAAUGUAAAGAAAAGAAGAAAAUAAAAUACAGAAGAAAAAAAAGAAACAGAUGACGAUGAUGAUGAUGAUAAAAAUGAACAUGAUAAAAGUAAGGAUGAAUAAGUAACGCAAGAAAACAAAAUUAAACAAAUGGAAAAGAGAAAGAGAAAGAAAGAAAGAAAGAAAGAUAUUAAUACAAAAUUGCGAUAAGGAACGUAGAUAUAUAUAUACAUAUUUUUUUUUUCUCUCUUUUAAAAACCAUAAGAAUAGUCAUUUUUCAAAUGAACGACGUCUAUUCAUGAGAACAAAAUAGAAAAAAAGAGAGAGAGAGAGAGAGACAGAGAAACGAUUUUUAUUAUCUAAUCGUAGAUCCUAAAUAAUGCGCAACAACGUUUAUUUGAAAAUCAAAAAGGAAUAAAAGAAAGAAAGAAAGAAAGAAAAAAAAUUUGAGCAAAAGUAAGAAAGAGAACGUGAACGAGGAAGAAUGUAUCUAAUUGAAGAGAAAGUAAAUAAAUAAUGAUGAAUGAUAA